GAUCGGUGCAGCGGCGGC
rnacentral:miRNA from 1 species